GCCGCUGUGGCUGCGCAGCGGGAGCUGGGCCGACGUCCGAGCAGGGUGGGCACUUGGAGGUGCUGGAGAGCCCCCUCCUCACGCGCCCACGGGGAAACUGAGGCCAGGGGAAUCCAAGGACCGGCUUGGGAGAUCUCAAGGGAAUUUUGGAUUUUUUCUGCCUUUGCCGGAGGCAGGAACACAGGAGUCUCAAGUUGGAAAGCGAUGAUUUUCCCCAUCCCAGCGCACCGUGACAUCCCGCUUAGAGGAGCCUCCAACCCGAAUCUCUUUUAGGAUUGCGCUUCCCAGCUGUGUGUGAGCGAGCCACUUUCCCUUUAAGGAUGCCAGGUUCCUCGAAGUUCUAAGGCGCUGGAUCUCGAGUCCUUCCUUCCGUCGACAAUGUUCAGGGAAAGCCCUUCCACACUUUCAUCAAACUCUCUCAAUAUAAUGAAGAGCGAAGCACGAUUUAAUGAUGAUGGGCGCUAGCUCCGACCCACCCUCUUGCUGUCACCCCUGCCUUCAGUUCUCCAACUCCGGCAGGGGUUCAGGUAGCUCAACCCUUUACCACGCCCGCGCCCGAAAUGGGCAAACAGCCCCUUCCCAAAGCUGGGACUGACGGCCCGCAUGCGGGGUGUCUCCCGCGGGUAGGUGCGUCUCCCAGGGUUGGGGGUGUCUGAUUUCAGUGAGGUUUCCUGUUAUCCCCAGAGGCCGAACUCGGCGCUAACCCGGAUUUCCCGCGGCACUGACCUGGGUUAGUUCUGCGGUCAUUCUUGGACCUGUGCCUUACCCCUGGCUAGACUUCUGGAACCGAUCUACGGGAUCUCCGGCAUCUCCGAGGAGAUCGCUUCCACCUUUAGGGCCUUGCAGACUGCUCCGGAAGCUCCAGCUAGCACAGCGCUUUCCAGAGGGAGCUGUAGAUGCAGAUCCGAGUGGAGGGUGCCUCGAGAGCCCCGAGUAUCCGAAGUGGAGGGUUCUGGUCUGAAAUGGGUGGUACUGCCUUCUGAAGGUUUAGCCCGUUUUUUUUUCAACGAGCUGAGUCCACCCCUGCUGCCAUCGGGAAAGAGACGCGAAAAGCGCACAUCCUUGCUCUGCUCCGAGAAGGGGUUGUAGCAUUUGGGCUUUACAUUAGCGGCACAAAACCACCAACUGCCAUCUGAAGUGAGGAAAAAGCAAAAAUUCAUGUUGCCUCCUAUUUUAUGUUUCCAAAGGAGAAUUUUUUUAAAAAAAUAAUUUUAUUUUAACCGAAUUAUGUCAUCGGGAACUUUUAAUAUAAGUUCUUUGAUUCUUUGUAUUUCUAUGAUUCUGAGAUUUGGAUUUUCAGAUUUUAAAUGUUGGAGUAUUAUUGUAACGUGAUUCCGUAAAUCAAAGGAGGCGAUUCUAUAAAAUUCUUUCACUAUCACCAUAUUCCUGUGGCUUUUAAACUCCUGGGCCAGGUCUGAAAGCCCAUUGGUUAUACAUUAAUAUGCUAGGACUAGGGUUUUGUUCCUAUGAUGAACAUAGUUUGAAACUAUGAUGCCAGAGCUGUUUCUCUAGUUUUAGAUUUUUUUCAGCUUUAAAGUGUAUGUUAUUCAAUUUGAAUUUAUUUAGGAAGAUUUGAGUCCUAUAAAUCUACAACACUCUUCCUCAAUUCCCGCAUGUGAGUACUGGAACUACUACUUUGUAGCUCAAAAAUCUUAUUCUGGUAAUUCUUCUAAUAUUCGUUGUGGUGUGCUGUAAUGAUUGGUCCUCUGGCUUUAUGACUCUGUGCUUUCGACUUCCAGUGAUUAUGGACAAAAGGCUACACAGCUCAGAAUUUUCAAAUCCUCUGAGUCUCCCGUGCGUAGCCUCAUCUAGAAUUCUGAUUUCUCUCUCAACUUUUGUUACUAUCCAGCUGUUUCCUCUGCUCCAGACCAAGAUUUAUCUUCUUGAGAUUAAAAUUUGCAAGAUCAUGAGUCUAAGAUUUUAAUGAACAAAAGACCCUAAGAUUCUAUCUCAUACAUUUUUAAAUCAAAUAAUGCAUUUAAAAAUUCUGUACUUUGAUGAGUCUGUGACUGUGCAGUGUAAAGUUUAGAUUGAAUGAUUUGCUGCAUGUAAAAAUCACAGUUUACCCGUUUGGAUCAAAAACCAUUCAUAGAUAUCCAAUCAGUGUGAGGCUACGAUCUGGUUGUCCCCUUACUUUCUUCUCAGUUUCUUGAGAAAGGGCAAAAUAGUUAACUCCUUCUCUCUUAAUGUGCUGGGGGUCAAACAGUUGAGAGUCAUUUGAAAAGUAAGGAUGCUGUUCCAGACCUUGGAAAUUAUUCUCUCAGUCCAGCAGAGUUAGACUCUUAUGGCUGUGGCGGGAUAAGCUCUUUCCAUCUGCUUCCCUCUAGUGGUCCUACACCCCUAGCAUAAGCCGACCCUUCACAGGGCUUUUGAAUGUGCGGGGUGUGUGUGUGUGUGUGUGUGUGUGUGUGUGUGUGUGUGUGUGUCUGUGUGUUGGAGUUACUGAGGCUCUGUAGAAGAUGCUGGAAGCUUUUCUGUAACAACUGCUCUUCUGCUUUGAAGCUAGAGAGCUGGUAAAUAAAGAACAGGAGAAUCCGAAGGAGUCACAGGAAAUUGCUCCAUUGCCCUGGCCCAGACGUCUCUGCCUGCAGACACAGAGGUCGAAACGUCCUCGUGGAAAAAGUUAAACCACUAAGGAAAAUUGAGGCACGUCUGUCUUGUGGACCGAGAUGAGAUACUCUUGUCGAAGAAUUAAUGGUUGAUUAAAGUAUUUUUUUUCUGUAGUCUAACUGGAAAUUUUGAGCCCUCAACUGGUGUGGACUCUUGUUUCUCUGAGCGGUGCAACCCAAUGUGGUUCAGAAAGCAACCGAUCUUCAACAUGCUUUCUCACCAAGGAUUUGCUUAAACAUUGCGAGUGGAAUUAUUGUCGCUGUGGCACCGGACACGGGGGUUGGGGUCCAGAAAGGAACCCCAGCUUCUCGCUGCUGCUGACUUGCUUAGACCCCGCUCGCAGCCUUUCUCCUUGUUUACCCGGCCCUCCCUAACUUCUGUGGCAGUGCAGACUGCUUCCUGAGCGGCCGAUGCACGCAGUCCCCAGACUGUGGAGCACGGUGGCCAGCGGGAGCCAGCCUUCUUUGGAACUUGGCUGCGGCGCGGAGAGGGGAAAUCGGGCUCCAGGCGACUGACUACGUGACUCAGUUAGCUCCCCACGCUCCCCAGGGCGCUCUUUGUGUCUCCAACCCCAGAGCGAGAAGCUCAAGGCAUUAAAUGCUUCUGGUCCCAUCGGACCGGGUCGCCCGGCGUGAAGGCUCGAGUGUAGGUGGACUUGCUGGGAAAGCUGUGCCGGGGGUAGGGGGCUCGGAGGUGAUGGUGAGAAUAGGACCCCGAGUGUCCCCUGCCCCAGGCUGGUGGCCAGUCGCGCGAGUCUUGGUGCAGGGUCCACUCUCGGACACGUGGAGCCUCCGCAUUUCUACAGCUGGCACCCAGCGUUGUGUGCGGCUCCGGGAUGCCAGGAAGCCCAGAAUUUACACAGAAGACCGUGGGUGUUCAUGUCAAGGCAGAGGUCCUGGUUUGUAAAAGGCCCGAGACCAUUCUCUUCCCCUGUAAACAAGGGAUUCCCCAAAUUGGCUUCUCAUUCAACCUCUGAGGUGCCGGAAGAGAAGGUGACGUGAGCCCCCUCCCCAGCCUAAUCCUGUUGCCUCCACCUACCCAGCACAUUCGUGGCUAGUGCAGCUCACCAUGAGCAACCCAGGCGUCUAAGGAGCCACCAUCAUCAUCCUCGGGCUGGUUAGCUGCACAGAGGACCGCAGCCCGGCUGGUCGGCUGCUGGGCACCACCGCAGGCUGCCCAGCUUUCCAAGUGUUUGUUUAUUUUCUUUAGUAUCUGGAGUCGAACUCAUGACCUUGCACUUGCCAGGCAGGCACUGAGCCUCUGAACUAUAUCCCUGGCCCUGUUUUUGCUUUUUACUGCCUCUUUCUGUCUGGAGUCAUGGAAGUGCCUCUCUGUCUCUGAAGCCUUUUAGCCUCUGGCUAGCUGUCCCUCCUCUCUGGACUAAUUCCCCACAACAGAAUAAAGGUGGGAAGCCAGGCACUGGCUGAACACUCGGCCAGUGAGGCUGCCUAGGAAAGGCUCUUCCACCUUAGGGGAGAGCGCAGAGUGGCGAGAUGGGGGACAUCCAUCCAGGGCUCUGGAGCCCAGUGUCUGGAUCCUGCUCUCCUGGAUCUCUGUGGGCUCUGCGUAACUGGGCUGGCAAGGGGAGAAGGGUUCCUCAGUACACUUCUGCCACACGUCUGAGGCUUCUGUCUCUGCCUAAGGAGUCCCUCAAUAUUUCCACCAGAUCAAGAGCACUUUCCCAGGCCUGGCAUUUGGGGUCCUCCUUCCAUAAUUUAGGUGCUUGCCACCCCUACCUUCUCUUUUGGUCUUACCUCCCUUAGCAUCUGAAGACAUCUGGACGUCUGAGGACUUCAGAGAAGUGCACAGAUAGUCGGACAGUCAUGUCACCAAAUAGCUGCCUCACACCAUAUGUGACAAGAACUAAAAUCCAAACAAGAUGGAACAGGCCAAAGAGGGAGUGUUUGAGGUGCUCCAAGUGGAUCAAGGAGGGAUCCCUGAAAGAGGCCUGAGAGGGUUGGAGGGGGAAUGCAGACCUUUGCAGACUGAGGAUGAGAAAGGUGGCUUUAUGCCUCUGGCACCCAGGUCACCAGGACAACGAGACCCUUCUGUGAAAGCCUGUUACUCAGAGUCACUCAAUCUUGGUUCAGUGCCUCUCUCAGUGUCUUCCUGGCUGCACAAUAUUGAUCCAGUCAUUUUUCCACUCUGGGUCUCAGUUUUUCAGUCUAUAAAAUGGGAGACUACUGAUGUUUGCAAGAGUUGUUGAAGGUUAAUAACAUUGACUUACGCAUACAUAACAUUUUAGCAUAAAUAUUUGAAUCACUAUAAUUAAUAUACAGUGUGAUAAAUAUGAAUAUUUAAAAAUUUAAAAUCAUUACAGUAAAAGUAAUUACUAUUAAUCUUCCCCAAAAUACCCCCUCCCUCACUUCAAAUGCUUAUCCUACGUUUUGUGCCAUUUUGAGAAGCACUUCUAAUAGUCCUCUUUUAUGAGUGUCUUUAGUUGCAUUGCCAUGGUGGCCUCAUUUCAAAACAUUUAUCUUUCAUGGUCAUUUAGCUUUUGAGGAAGAACCAGAAGUCUCACGGUGCUGGAUCCAGUGAGUAAGGUAGAUGAGGAUGUGCCGUAAUGUUUUUACAGCCUGCCUUCCUGUUGGAUGGCUCUUGGUGGCAGCACUAUUUUUGAUCACACCAUGUAAAGAUAUUUAUGAACAGGGAAUUCCAGAGCUACUUCAGGAAGUGGGAAGAGUGAUCGGUGUAUUCAAAGUGAGGAGAGUGUGUUGAGGGAUUCAAUGGCCAUAUGUCUUUUACUAUGAUAAAUUAUUUUUAUUAAAACAUAUCGUUUGUUUUAUUUAAACACAUUAGUGAUCAGCCCCGGUCAUUAGUGUAUCAGGCCUGUCAUUGAGCAUUAGGGAUUCAUCCAGGGAAACUUCACUAGAGCUGGAAGGUAACUGGAAAAAGGCCACCUGGGUGGGUGGGCAGCUAUAAAGGGAUCUAGAAUCAGGGGCCUUGUCAGAGAUAAGUGGACACAAGGAAAGAUUCGGUCUCGAAACAGCGUCUUCUACCCUAGGUUUGAACACAGGAGACACUGGAAUGAUCCUGGAUUCUAGAGAUAAGAAAUUGUGUUAGAGAAGCAGUUCUGGUAACUGGGCUCUGCUGGGCUGGGGUCUGAGGACCUCACACGGGCAGCAUCAUCUCCUGGUGUCCUGGAAACUUGCAGUGGAUCUGCAUGCAACCACAGCCUCUUUCUGGGCACAUCUGUCCCUGCCUUUUGGCAGAAAGAGAGAGAAAGUUUCAGCACUGGGCUGGGCCCUGGCCUCUGGGUUCAGAGGCAUAGUCCUCAGCCCUGAAGUGCUUCUCAUAUGCUCACUGUGCUCAGCCCACAGGGCAGAGCCCCAGGAAGCCAUGGGGAUGGAUAAGAAAAUUGAGUUUGCCCUCCUUUUGUGGAUUUGGACAUAAACCAGGAGAAAGAGGAGGUGAGGGACUGCUGUUGGGCUCUCUUUAGGCUGGUGUGUGUGGCUCCCUGCCUUCCUUGCCAGGCCAAAUUGUCCUGGUUGGUGGGACAGUAACACUGGAACUGCUGGAACCUGGUUCUGGGUCAGUGGAAUUGGAAAAGUUGUGGAAAUGGAAAGAAGAGAGAGGGAGGAGAGGAAGGAUCUCUCUGGAAAUGGCUAGGAGAUGGGGUGACAAAGUUUGGGAGAUGCCAUCAGUCAGCUGCCAUAUAGAGGUCAAUGUCCCAGAGGCUGGGCUGUGCCUUAGAACCUUAUAACCAAAGUAGGGGCCUAGAAAUAAGCUAUUGAAGCAAUCAAAUCAACACCCUUCAGACCCCUCUGCAGGUUUCUGUUACUUCUGGUUUUAGAGUUCUAACCUCACAAAGCCUUUCUGAUAUAUUCCUGUAUCUGAUUUGUGGCACAUUCUCAUCUUCUGGGUGUUUGCUGGACAGAGAUGAUUGACAAAAGCUUUACCCAGUGAGUAAGCAAGGCUGACUCAGGUUAGGCAAGCAGCUCCACCUCUUUGCUGAUCCACCUCCUAGUACCCUGCCCUGGAGAGCUGGAUUUCUAGAUUUGUCAUUUAUGGUACCAAAACAGCCUAAAGAGAUAAACAGAAACAGGACUUUCACCAAGGAAGAAAAGACAGUAUCCUUCACAUCACACCCUAGCUAGCUCAGCACUUUAUUUUAUAAGACACAAGUAAGUUGACUGGCUUGUAGCUGACCAUACUGAGGCCUUUGUGUCAAUAGCUGACAGACCCAAGUCUUUCAGUAAUCCCUAGGUUAGGAGGCCGAGCCAAAACCAACAAGAAGACAUUUUAAAAACUGUUAUGAAAACAUGUAACUUCACAAGAGAUAAAGCAAGGAAAAUAUUCCCCACAUGCCAAUUACCUGUCAUUCACCUACUAAGUUUUUCUGUUCUGUAUUUUUUCCUCUUUUGUAUUCUUACAUAUGUACAGAAAGUGUAUGUUUACAUAGGUAUAGCCAUGAUAUGUGUACAAUUCUGUGGUCUUUAUACAUGGUGCAUUUGCAUUAUCUUGUAAACAUAACCUCAUGUUGCUUCUCACUUUUUUUUUUUUACUAUAAUUGUGAAUGAAAUCGUCUCGUGUUGAUCUAACCCUUUCAUUGUAGCUGAGUAAUUAGGUAAUUUCCAGCAUCUUUGAUAUAAAUGGUGUUGCCAGGCAUGUGUUUGUAUAAAGAGCUUUUUAUUUCUUUUGAUGUGUCCUUAAGACAAAUUUCUAAGUAUAAGAUU